rnacentral:rRNA from 1 species
AACGAACGCUGGCGGCAGGCUUAACACAUGCAAGUCGAGCGCCCCGCAAGGGGAGCGGCAGACGGGUGAGUAACGCGUGGGAAUCUACCCAUCUCUACGGAAUAACGCAUGGAAACGUGUGCUAAUACCGUAUACGUCCUUCGGGAGAAAGAUUUAUCGGAGAUGGAUGAGCCCGCGUUGGAUUAGCUAGUUGGUGGGGUAAAGGCCUACCAAGGCGGCGAUCCAUAGCUGGUCUGAGAGGAUGAUCAGCCACACUGGGACUGAGACACGGCCCAGACUCCGACGGGAGGCAGCAGUGGGGAAUAUUGGACAAUGGGCGCAAGCCUGAUCCAGCCAGGCCGCGUGAGUGAUGAAGGCCCUAGGGUUGUAAAGCUCUUUCACCGGUGAAGAUAAUGACGGUAACCGGAGAAGAAGCCCCGGCUAACUUCGUGCCAGCCGCCGCAGUAAGAC